AUUCAGAGAGAAACUUUACUCUAUAACGUUACAUGGAAGUAUCUGCGUGAUAAUUACAAAACGUUAAAGGUUCUUCCCCUUUUACGAUCAACUGAUGAGGUUGUCAUCCUUAACUAUGACACAGAUCCAUGUAAGAAAUUUUGUACCGUUGCUUUAAAACGGAGAAUCGAUGAUGAGAAUGAGAUACAGAGAAUUGCUGAUUCCAUUAUCUUGAAUUUCAUAUACAGAAGACAAACAUCAUUGGCAAAUUGGUAUAUUUUGGAGGACUUCAAGUAUGAUUGACACAACACUUUUUAUCAGAAAAAAUGUAUAUGUCAGUAUCUGGAGCCGAGUCUUCUUUCAGAUUCGUUUUUCGAAGAUUGAUGCUUAUUGUGAAACAAAAUGAACGCAUUUGUAAGGAACGCACGCGUGAACAAAAGGUGUCUUUAAACGUCCAAUUACUUUACAGUUCUGUAGUGAUAGGUAGUUAUAUCUUAACGUUUAAGAAUUUUCAGGAUUUCUUGAACUAAAUUAGGUGAAAUUGGAUGGAGCUAAAGGAUGGCCCUCAUUUGUUUAUCUCGUUAAUUUGUUAUUUAUUUGCAUCAGCUGUGUCAUUAUUGUACAUUAAACCUAAAAACUUAAAUUAAUUCAUCUAACACGCGUGUUUGCCUGCCUUACACAAAGUAACAGGAUUUGUAAACAUUGAAUCAUGUUGUUCAAAUUGAAUUAUAUUAAUUAUAUGCAAAUUAAA